AUUCUUAAAAGAACAAAAUAGUUCUGCGGUGUACGGUGUACCGCGAGUUAAAACCUAGUGUGUUAUAUGAUGAUAAUUGAAGAAGCCUGAACGGUGAAUCCGAUCCUUAAAACUAGACCAGAGUUAGAUUGGCACAUUGUGACAACACUAACAUAAAUCAUUAUACA
rnacentral:sRNA from 1 species